AGGCUUGUGUGGCUUUUUAUUUCUUAAAAAUAGCAUUUCUUUUUACCACAAUGGCAUAGGAACUUGUGUCCCCAGCAAUAGUAAACAAAUUAGCUUCUUUUAUCUGAAAAACAAGUAGAGUAAGUCUCUCUCUCUUUUUUAUAAAAAGAAAAUGCAAAACAAAAAUUCUCCCUCCUCUUAAAGGCUUCUUUGCUGGUGAGUGUUUGUCCAGGAACAAAUAGUCUUUUAUUCCAAUGGUCUCCAAAAGUUCAUAAGCAAAAAAAGUGUCCAGCGUCUGCUUCCCGACAAUACGGUCUCUGGCUGCAUAGUGAAGCUUUUCUGUCCUGAAUUUGUGAUCUGUUAUCAGAGUCCUUUAAUUUCUGCGAACAGAAGGCUCUUUGGGAGAAGAAAGCUGGGGGGUGGGGAGUGACAUUGGAAUCAGUCUUUUUUCCCCCCUUUUGCUGUUUUCUUCCAGUCAGCAAGUAGUGCUUGAAUUCUUCUGAUCUUUCCCAGCAUCUUAUUGAGAUUCUACUGUGCUUCCGGAGCCGACAAUUUGCAGGAUUCCUGGGGGCACCUUCCUACCAUAGAGCCUGCCUGCAACCAGCAUCUGCCCAGAUUCCCUCCACGUGCAGAGCAGGUAAUCAGCUGAGAGGUCAGAUGCUGUCCCUGGUCUCUGCAAGUCUUCUUUGCCUUGACUGAAAAGCCAGCAAUAUUGACCAAAAGCCAGACACAGCUAUUGCAGAGCAAACACUGGUGAGGGUGGGGGAGGGGAAGGUGUAGGGGCUGCGUCUCCACCUGCUGAGGAGAGAGGCUUGGGUUCUGUAGAUCUGAGGUGAGAGAUCUCAUGGUGUGUCUAGCAAGACCAACAUUUUCCCCUCAGGAGAGUUUGUGUCCACCAGGAGCUGUCCCCUAAGAGCUGGAGGGGUCUUCUUUUCUCUGAUGGGCCUGCUGUUCGGCAUCCGGGAUCUGCUUCAGGUUCAGGGAGGCCUAGGGCAUCCCAUGUUCUGUCCCAGCUUCCAGGGCAAGAGCUUUGGUUCCCCC
rnacentral:lncRNA from 1 species